UACGAAGGGGGCUAGCGUUGCUCGGAAUCACUGGGCGUAAAGGGUGCGUAGGCGGGUCUUUAAGUCAGGGGUGAAAUCCUGGAGCUCAACUCCAGAACUGCCUUUGAUACUGAAGAUCUUGAGUCCGGGAGAGGUGAGUGGAACUGCGAGUGUAGAGGUGAAAUUCGUAGAUAUUCGCAAGAACACCAGUGGCGAAGGCGGCCGACUGGUCCGGUUCUGACGCUGAGGCGCGAAAGCGUGGGGAGCAAACAGG
rnacentral:rRNA from 1 species